rnacentral:rRNA from 1 species
GACGAACCGUGCGAACGUUAUUCGGAAUCACUGGGCUUAAAGCGCGUGUAGGCGGAUGGGUGCGUCGGCUUCUGAAAGCCCCCGGCUCAACCGGGGAAGUGGGGCCGAAACGACCCGUCUCGAGGGACGUAGGGGGAUCUGGAACUUCCGGUGGAGCGGUGAAAUGCGUUGAGAUCGGAAGGAACGCCCGUGGCGAAAGCGAGAUCCUGGACGUCUGCUGACGCUGAGACGCGAAAGCUAGGGGAGCGAACGGG